AUAUGGUAUUUUAACACUCUAUGCUAUAAAAUGUUUAAAUAUAUUCAUUGGAGUAGGUGUCGCACGAAAUCGCGAAAUGAGUGAAAAUGGCUGCCGACUACGUUUCUGCUGAGGAUUUAGCGCUAUACUUAAAGCACUUCUAAAAUUUAUAGGCUUCAGUCUCCUGAAAAUGCUCAGUUUGUCUCCCUGUUAUGCUGGAGGCGUUCUAUGCACCUGCUAUCUAGUGUCAUAGCCGAGACAAUGACAUGACAGACGACUGUGUACAACUAGUACUGUGUCUUGACAACGGUGACGCUUCUUGGAAGGGGAACGAACUCGGUUGUUUGCUCGAGUUACCUGUCUUACAAGGACGAACAGUCGUGACUUGUCAUUUGGAGGAUUUAAAAUUGCGUCCCAUUCAGUCGACGGGCUCGUCCCAUCGCUACACGACUGACAUGAAAGAGUGAUGGGAAGAAUCAAGCCGACCUUGCGAAAUUCGUCCCUCAGUUUCUUUUAAAUCUUUAUUGACAAUGGCGACUUCAUCAGACGA